CACUAUCGUUAACUGAAUACAUAGGUUAACGAGGCGAACCGGGGGAACUGAAACAUCUAAGUACCCCGAGGAAAAGAAAUCAACCGAGAUUCCCCCAGUAGCGGCGAGCGAACGGGGAGCAGCCCAGAGUCUGAAUCAGCUUGUGUGUUAGUGGAACGGUCUGGAAAGUCCGACGGUACAGGGUGAUAGUCCCGUACACCAAAAUGCACAGGCUGUGAACUCGAAGAGUAGGGCGGGACACGUGGUAUCCUGUCUGAAUAUGGGGGGACCAUCCUCCAAGGCUAAAUACUCCUGACUGACCGAUAGUGAACCAGUACCGUGAGGGAAAGGCGAAAAGAACCCCGGCGAGGGGAGUGAAAAAGAACCUGAAACCGUGUACGUACAAGCAGUGGGAGCACCUUCGGGUGUGACUGCGUACCUUUUGUAUAAUGGGUCAGCGACUUAUAUUCUGUAGCAAGGUUAACCGUAUAGGGGAGCCGCAGGGAAACCGAGUCUUAACUGGGCGUUAAGUUGCAGGGUAUAGACCCGAAACCCGGUGAUCUAGCCAUGGGCAGGUUGAAGGUUGGGUAACACUAACUGGAGGACCGAACCGACUAAUGUUGAAAAAUUAGCGGAUGACUUGUGGCUGGGGGUGAAAGGCCAAUCAAACCGGGAGAUAGCUGGUUCUCCCCGAAAGCUAUUUAGGUAGCGCCUCGUGAAUUCAUCUUCGGGGGUAGAGCACUGUUUCGGCUAGGGGGUCAUCCCGACUUACCAACCCGAUGCAAACUACGAAUACCGAAGAAUGUUAUCACGGGAGACACACGGCGGGUGCUAACGUCCGUCGUGAAGAGGGAAACAACCCAGACCGCCAGCUAAGGUCCCAAAGUCAUGGUUAAGUGGGAAACGAUGUGGGAAGGCACAGACAGCCAGGAUGUUGGCUUAGAAGCAGCCAUCAUUUAAAGAAAGCGUAAUAGCUCACUGGUCGAGUCGGCCUGCGCGGAAGAUGUAACGGGGCUAAACCAUGCACCGAAGCUGCGGCAGCGACACUAUGUGUUGUUGGGUAGGGGAGCGUUCUGUAAGCCUGCGAAGGUGUGCUGUGAGGCAUGCUGGAGGUAUCAGAAGUGCGAAUGCUGACAUAAGUAACGAUAAAGCGGGUGAAAAGCCCGCUCGCCGGAAGACCAAGGGUUCCUGUCCAACGUUAAUCGGGGCAGGGUGAGUCGACCCCUAAGGCGAGGCCGAAAGGCGUAGUCGAUGGGAAACAGGUUAAUAUUCCUGUACUUGGUGUUACUGCGAAGGGGGGACGGAGAAGGCUAUGUUAGCCGGGCGACGGUUGUCCCGGUUUAAGCAUGUAGGCUGGUUGUCCAGGCAAAUCCGGAUAAUCAAGGCUGAGGUGUGAUGACGAGGCACUACGGUGCUGAAGUAACAAAUGCCCUGCUUCCAGGAAAAGCCUCUAAGCAUCAGGUAACAUCAAAUCGUACCCCAAACCGACACAGGUGGUCAGGUAGAGAAUACCAAGGCGCUUGAGAGAACUCGGGUGAAGGAACUAGGCAAAAUGGUGCCGUAACUUCGGGAGAAGGCACGCUGGUGUGUAGGUGAAGUCCCUGCGGAUGGAGCUGAGACCAGUCGAAGAUACCAGCUGGCUGCAACUGUUUAUUAAAAACACAGCACUGUGCAAACACGAAAGUGGACGUAUACGGUGUGACGCCUGCCCGGUGCCGGAAGGUUAAUUGAUGGGGUUAUCCGUAAGGAGAAGCUCUUGAUCGAAGCCCCGGUAAACGGCGGCCGUAACUAUAACGGUCCUAAGGUAGCGAAAUUCCUUGUCGGGUAAGUUCCGACCUGCACGAAUGGCGUAAUGAUGGCCAGGCUGUCUCCACCCGAGACUCAGUGAAAUUGAACUCGCUGUGAAGAUGCAGUGUACCCGCGGCAAGACGGAAAGACCCCGUGAACCUUUACUAUAGCUUGACACUGAACAUUGAGCCUUGAUGUGUAGGAUAGGUGGGAGGCUUUGAAGCGUGGACGCCAGUCUGCGUGGAGCCAACCUUGAAAUACCACCCUUUAAUGUUUGAUGUUCUAACGUUGGCCCCUUAUCGGGGUUGCGGACAGUGUCUGGUGGGUAGUUUGACUGGGGCGGUCUCCUCCCAAAGCGUAACGGAGGAGCACGAAGGUUAGCUAAUCCUGGUCGGACAUCAGGAGGUUAGUGCAAUGGCAUAAGCUAGCUUGACUGCGAGCGUGACGGCGCGAGCAGGUGCGAAAGCAGGUCAUAGUGAUCCGGUGGUUCUGAAUGGAAGGGCCAUCGCUCAACGGAUAAAAGGUACUCCGGGGAUAACAGGCUGAUACCGCCCAAGAGUUCAUAUCGACGGCGGUGUUUGGCACCUCGAUGUCGGCUCAUCACAUCCUGGGGCUGAAGUAGGUCCCAAGGGUAUGGCUGUUCGCCAUUUAAAGUGGUACGCGAGCUGGGUUUAGAACGUCGUGAGACAGUUCGGUCCCUAUCUGCCGUGGGCGCUGGAGAAUUGAGGGGGGCUGCUCCUAGUACGAGAGGACCGGAGUGGACGCAUCACUGGUGUUCGGGUUGUCAUGCCAAUGGCACUGCCCGGUAGCUAAAUGCGGAAGAGAUAAGUGCUGAAAGCAUCUAAGCACGAAACUUGCCCCGAGAUGAGUUCUCCCUGAGACUUUAAGUCUCCUGAAGGAACGUUGAAGACGACGACGUUGAUAGGCCGGGUGUGUAAGCGCAGCGAUGCGUUGAGCUAACCGGUACUAAUGAACCGUGAGGCUUAACCUU
rnacentral:rRNA from 1 species